GCCUAUGAUGAUUUCCACUUAAUUUUAGAUGCUAGACUUCUGAAAUUCAUAUCAUGUAGCACUUGGACUUUCUGAGG